GCCUCGGUGGCGGAAUUGGUAGACGCGCGAGACUCAAAAUCUCGUAUAGGCAACUAUGUGUGAGUUCGAUUCUCACCCGAGGCA
rnacentral:tRNA from 1 species